rnacentral:rRNA from 1 species
GAUGAACGCUAGCUACAGGCUUAACACAUGCAAGUCGAGGGGAAACGACAUCGAAAGCUUGCUUUUGAUGGGCGUCGACCGGCGCACGGGUGAGUAACGCGUAUCCAACCUGCCCACCACUUGGGGAUAACCUUGCGAAAGUAAGACUAAUACCCAAUGACGUCUCUAGAAGACAUCUGAAAGAGAUUAAAGAUUUAUCGGUGAUGGAUGGGGAUGCGUCUGAUUAGCUUGUUGGCGGGUAACGGCCCACCAAGGCGACGAUCAGUAGGGGUUCUGAGAGGAAGGUCCCCCCACAUUGGAACUGAGACACGGUCCAAACUCCUACGGGGGAGCAGCAGUGAGGAAUAUUGGUCAAUGGACGAGAGUCUGAACCAGCCAAGUAGCGUGCAGGAUGACGGCCCUAUGGGUUGUAAACUGCUUUUUAAGGGAAUAAAGUGAGUCUCGUGAGACUUUUUGC